GCUCCUGUGGGCUAGUGGUUCUGCUAUUUGCUUCCGCCGCAAAAGAUCCUCGGUUCGAAUCCGAGCUGGAGCU
rnacentral:tRNA from 1 species